CAUCCAUAUUACAUUCCCGAAUUUGAAGUCAGAGCUUCUACCAAGGUCACCAAGAAUAAUUUUAAAGCUUCCAAGAACUGUUUAAAAGUGUUUUCAAGUCUGAACAAGAAUUCUGACAUUU